AACCAAUGUUUUAUUGUCUGCAGUCCAGAAAAAGCAAGUGAAGAAAGGAACAUCUGCCCAUGUGCUCCGCGUUUCUGCUGCGCGAGGGAUUCAGUGCCAACCCAGGCAUUGAUACCAAUGUUAGUAAGAUAGAAAAAAUGGAGGAUGCAACUCAGCUCAGUCCCCACACGGACCAAAAAUAGGAGGGCUUGCUCUAUAUUCUGCAGCGCUGGAG